rnacentral:rRNA from 1 species
GACGAACGCUGGCGGCGUGCUUAACACAUGCAAGUCGAACGGUGAAGCGCCUUCCUUUUUGGUGGGUGUGGAUGAGUGGCGAACGGGUGAGUAACACGUGAGUAACCUGCCCCCUUCUUCUGGAUAACCGCAUGAAAGUGUGGCUAAUACGGGAUAUUCUGGGUCUGUCGCAUGAUGGGUCUGGGAAAGAUAUUGUUUCGGUGGGGGAUGGGCUCGCGGCCUAUCAGCUUGUUGGUGGGGUGAUAGCCUACCAAGGCGGUGACGGGUAGCCGGCCUGAGAGGGUGGACGGUCACACUGGGACUGAGACACGGCCCAGACUCCUACGGGAGGCAGCAGUGGGGAAUAUUGCACAAUGGGCGCAAGCCUGAUGCAGCGACGCCGCGGGAGGGAUGGAGGCCUGCGGGUUGUGAACCUCUUUCGCCAGUGAAGCAGGCCUGCCUCGUUUGUGGGUGGGUUGACGGUAGCUGGAUAAGAAGCGCCGGCUAACUACGUG